rnacentral:misc_RNA from 1 species
CGGCGCCUCAUACGCGACG